rnacentral:rRNA from 1 species
CUUAACACAUGCGAGUCGAACGAAGCACCUUGAUUUGAUUCUUCGGAUGAAGAUCUUGGUGACUGAGUGGCGGACGGGUGAGUAACGCGUGGGUAACCUGCCUCAUACAGGGGGAUAACAGUUAGAAAUGACUGCUAAUACCGCAUGAGACCACAGCACCGCAUGGUGCAGGGGUAAAAACUCCGGUGGUAUGAGAUGGACCCGCGUCUGAUUAGGUAGUUGGUGGGGUAACGGCCUACCAAGCCGACGAUCAGUAGCCGACCUGAGAGGGUGACCGGCCACAUUGGGACUGAGACACGGCCCAAACUCCUACGGGAGGCAGCAGUGGGGAAUAUUGCACAAUGGGGGAAACCCUGAUGCAGCGACGCCGCGUGAGCGAUGAAGUAUUUCGGUAUGUAAAGCUCUAUCAGCAGGGAAGAAAAUGACGGUACCUGACUAAGAAGCACCGGCUAAAUACGUGCCAGCAGCCGCGGUAAUACGUAUGGUGCAAGCGUUAUCCGGAUUUACUGGGUGUAAAGGGAGCGUAGACGGAGUGGCAAGUCUGAUGUGAAAACCCGGGGCUCAACCCCGGGACUGCAUUGGAAACUGUCAAUCUAGAGUACCGGAGAGGUAAGCGGAAUUCCUAGUGUAGCGGUGAAAUGCGUAGAUAUUAGGAGGAACACCAGUGGCGAAGGCGGCU